AGAAUCAACGCUGGCGGCGUGCCUCAGACAUGCAAGUCGAACGAUUAAAGCUCUCUUCGGAGAGUGUAUAGAGUGGCGCACGGGUGAGUAACACGUAAGUAAUCUACCUUUGAGUGGGGAAUAACGUCCGGAAACGGACGCUAAUACCGCAUAAUGCAGCGGCAUCGCAAGAUGACAGUUGUUAAAGAUUUAUCGCUUGAAGAGGAGCUUGCGGCAGAUUAGCUAGUUGGUAAGGUAAUGGCUUACCAAGGCUACGAUCUGUAACCGGUCUAAGAGGACGGUCGGUCACACUGACACUGAAUAACGGGUCAGACUCCUACGGGAGGCAGCAGUCGGGAAUUUUGGGCAAUGGGCGAAAGCCUGACCCAGCAACGCCGCGUGAAGGAUGAAGUAUUUCGGUAUGUAAACUUCGAAAGAAUGGAAGAAUAAAUGACGGUACCAUUUAUAAGGUCCGGCUAACUACGUGCCAGUACGCCGC
rnacentral:rRNA from 1 species